UGUGUUUGGUGUGUCUGUUUACUCUGAAUGCAAGUUCGUUGGCAAAAGCUGUUUUCACUAACUCCACCCAGCAUUGCUCAGAUAUUUACUUUUAGUACAAAUAGCAUAUUACUUCUGUUAACUUUGUGUGUACAGCAUCUGCUAUACCGUUUACAGUACCCUCAGUGUAAAUGGCAGCUAUACCUUUUUUACACUUAAUGUAACUUGCUGCUGCCUUUAGAAAAACAUUAAUUCAGUGUACAUGAAAACGUUUGUGAAUUAUUAUUUUUUUUGUUUUUUCUCAAAUAUAAGGAGUGAGACCAGAAGAAUUUUGAGACCCUAUAGAGCAUUGAGGGUAACAAAAGAGUGUUAAGUCUAUUUUGAGGAUAAAAACAUUGGACAAUUUAAUUUACUAUAAGAUAAAAGUAAAUUAUACAUAAAAUUUAAUUGAAAUUUGACUGAUUUAUGAUCUAUUGAUGAGGGAAAUUUGGUUAAAUCUGAAUGUUGUGCUGUGAUUUAUCAUGUCAGUUCAGUUUGGCCUGUGGUAACUGCUAUGCUACAGUACAUGCUAUACGGGUUAAUCAGACACAAAGAAUGGCACAUCUCCUUGUCGUUAUUGAACAAGCUCACUGAAUUUUCAAUGUGCAGGGUGGCACUUUUUCUACACACUUCUUCCUGCAGUGGUAUUUAGCAUUCUGUUGUAUAUUGUCUCAAUAGUGACAUGAUUAGAAGUUCAUUGAAUUUGCAAUAACAACAGGCUUUGCCUUGGUGUUUCAGGUCCAGCUACCUGUCCUUGUAAUUGUCUAUAAUGUGAUUUGUGUACAUUAUUGUAAGCUGCAGUGUAGUGCAAAGUGCAAAUAACUGCACCAUGGCUUGUCUAAUCAUAUAACAGUGUUGUCUUUAAUGCCUCACUAUGAAUAUUGAUUUCUUUAUCUGCCCCAAAAGGACUAAAGGUUAAUAAGUGCAAAUAUUUGUGCAAGCAUGACAGUCAGAGAAUUGUUCUGUCACACAUAUAAACUCAAUUAACCAGAUGAGAGAGAGAAUCUGAAAGUCUGGUCAGGUUUGGAAAAGUGUGACAUUCAUUUCAUGUACCAAUACUCAUUUAAAAAUACUAACAGUGACUUUCCAGUGAGGGUCAUCAACAUUGAUAAUGUUUUACCAAAAUCAUUAUGCAUUCUCCAAACAUGGAUAGGCAGCCAGGUCUCAUUACUCUCCUGAGAAAUAACAAGAAUAGAACUCCACACCUUCUCAGAGGGAAUAAGGGGGAAUAAGAUAGAGUAUUAAAGCAAGGAUGAAUGCAAGAGAGAAAAGCCCCUGGCAAACCCAGGCCCCCCUACUGCUCCUGACAUGAAACUCCUCACUGAAUAAUGAGCUUCUCCAUUCCAGUAAAUCCCUGCAUUUGAGACUUGCUGCAGUGUUUUGUGUGCACUUCUGUACUGUGUGAUCGCUUCUC
rnacentral:lncRNA from 1 species